UACAGAGGUCUCAACCGUUGUUCGGAUUCAUUGGGCGUAAAGGGUGCGUAGGCGGUCGUGCAAGUCGGAUGUGAAAUCUCAGGGCUCAACCCUGAAACUGCAUUCGAUACUGCGUGGCUAGAGUGCUGGAGAGGAGACUGGAAUUUACGGUGUAGCAGUGAAAUGCGUAGAUAUCGUAAGGAAGACCAGUGGCGAAGGCGGGUCUCUGGACAGUUCCUGACACUGAGGAGCGAAAGCGUGGGGAGCGAACAGG
rnacentral:rRNA from 1 species